ensembl:miRNA
AUUAAAAAACAAACAAACAAAGAGAUCAGGGAAUAGAAGUGCAGAGGGAGUAAAAGGAUAGUAGUAACAAUAGCUGAUGUCUGUUGAGUGUUUGCUGUGUGCUUGAUACUGUUCUGAGUCCU